CCUACGGGAGGCUGCAGUGGGGAAUAUUGGACAAUGGGCGAAAGCCUGAUCCAGCCAUGCCGCGUGUGUGAAGAAGGCCUUCGGGUUGUAAAGCACUUUCAGUGGGGAAGAAAGCCUUGGGGCUAAUACCCUCGAGGAAGGACAUCACCCACAGAAGAAGCACCGGCUAACUCCGUGCCAGCAGCCGCGGUAAUACGGAGGGUGCGAGCGUUAAUCGGAAUUACUGGGCGUAAAGCGCGCGUAGGCGGUCUGAUAAGCCGGUUGUGAAAGCCCCGGGCUCAACCUGGGAACGGCAUCCGGAACGGUCAGGCUAGAGUGCAGGAGAGGAAGGUAGAAUUCCCGGUGUAGCGGUGAAAUGCGUAGAGAUCGGGAGGAAUACCAGUGGCGAAGGCGGCCUUCUGGACUGACACUGACGCUGAGGUGCGAAAGCGUGGGUAGCAAACAGGAUUAGAUACCCGUGUAGUC
rnacentral:rRNA from 1 species